AUUGAACGCUGGCGGCAGGCCUAACACAUGCAAGUCGAACGAGUGGCGGACGGGUGAGUAAUGUCUGGGAAACUGCCUGAUGGAGGGGGAUAACAACUGGAAACGGUAGCUAAUAACGCAUACCAUCAAAUGUGCCAAGAUGGGAUUAGCUAGUGGGUGGGGUAACGGCUCACCAAGGCGACGAUCCCUAGCUUGUCUGAGAGGAUGACCAGCCAGACUGGAACUGAGACACGGUCCAGACUCGUACUGGAGUCAGCAGUGGGGAAUAGUGCACAAUGGGCGCAAGCCUUAUUCAGCCAUGCCGCGGGUAUGAAGAAGGCCUUCGGGUUGUAGAGGACUUUCAGCUGGGAGGCGUUACCCGCAGAAGAAGCACCGGCUAAUUCCGUGCCAGCAGCCGCGGUAAUAC
rnacentral:rRNA from 1 species